rnacentral:rRNA from 1 species
ACGUGGGGAACCUGCCCCAUAGUCUGGGAUACCACUUGGAAAACAAGGGUGCUAAUACCGGAUAAGAAAGCGGAUCGCAUGAUCAGCUUUUAAAAAGGCGGCGUAAGCUGUCGCUAUGGGAUGGCCCCGCGGUGCAUUAGCUAGUUGGUAAGGUAAAGGCUUACCAAGGCGAUGAUGCAUAGCCGAGUUGAGAGACUGAUCGGCCACAUUGGGACUGAGACACGGCCCAAACUCCUACGGGAGGCAGCAGUC